CCCAGCAUAGGAGAGCAAGCUCCGUCAACCCCAAUGCCUGCAGGAGACGAUGUGAACACUGGAGGCGUCUGUUCAAUGGUGUCGGCAAGCAGCAUGUCAACCGACAAGAACAUGAGCUACACCGUUCUGGCAGGCACCCUUGCCGGCCAGAGCGCCCUUGGCUAGUACCUUCUAUUGAAGCCCAAGAAGACUGUGGAGGUCGUCGACUGA
rnacentral:rRNA from 1 species